GAACCUGUACUCACAUGUACAUACUCCCAUGCAGACACCCACAUAACCAUGUAAUUCAGAAUAGAAUCUUAAAGCCAGACUUGAUGGUGCGCACCUUUAAUCCUAGCACUUGUUAGGCAGAGGCAGGCAGAUCUCUGAGUUUGAGGCCAGCCUGGGCUACACAGAGAAACUCUGUCUCCAAAAAAAAAAAAAUAAAAGUCUUAAAACAAUAAAAUAAAGAGGCCAGGCAUGAUGUGCACACCUUUAAUCCAGCACUUGAGAACCAGAAGCAGAAGGAUGUCUGUGAGUCCAAAGCCAGUCUGCUCUAUAUGGUGAGUUCUAGGUCAGCCAGGGCUUCAUCACAAGACCCUGUAUAUAAAUCAGUCAAUCAAUAAAGUAAACAUGGCUGACAAAGAGAGUUUAAUAGGUAAAGAGACUUGCUGACGAGCCUGAUGACUUGAGUUGGGUCCCCAAACCUGAGUGAUGGAAAGAGAAAAGCAGUUCCCACAAGUUUUCCUCUGCCACAACACUUAAACACACACACCUGCGUGUGUGUGCUGCAUGUGUGCCCUUCACAGUUUCUUUGGUAAUCAGAUUCCAGAGCUUUCUCUCUGGGUGAUGACAAGAAAGCCCUUUUUUGUCUAGGAGUGGCCUCUUGGUGACAGUAUCUCUUUCUCUCUUCCAGCAAUACAUUUAUCAGGAAGUGUGGAAUCUCUUCCAGCAAAUCAGUGUAAAGGCCAGUUCAGUUGUGUAUUCAGCCACCAAAGACUAUAAAGACCAUGGCUACAGGUAAUUCUUCUGUGCCUCGUUGCUUUAGAUCUUGACAGCAUGUAACUCUGAGAGAAUUUUGUCUGUGUUUCUCUUCUUACAGAAGCACCAUAUGGUAUAAAUCAGUGUACAUAUAAGGCGACAUGGGAAAAUUCACACCUAAACUCUGUUCUCCUCCCUUCCAUGCCAUACAGACCCAUAAUGCACAUUUAGGUGACCUGUUUCUUAUACUUAAGCAACAUGCCAAUUACACCUGAAAUAUGUCCCUUUAUGUUGUUUUAAACAGCGAUGUGGUACCACAUUGCAUAGCUGUGUCAAGACUGUCACCAGUCCCUAGUUUGGUUAUUUGGUAGUUUUUUAGUUUCCAAGGUGUUGCCUUGAGAAACCAGUGUAAUAGCUGUUAAAAAACAAUGUAAGUCUGCUUUUCUUAUGUUAGAUUUUCAGAAGCAGGAUUUAUUUGGUGGUUGGGGAUUCAGUGCAAAGCAAUUGUAACAAGUACAGGGCCCUAGGUUUAGUUCUUAGCACUUU
rnacentral:lncRNA from 1 species